rnacentral:rRNA from 1 species
AUACGGAGGGUGCAAGCGUUGUCCGGAUUUAUUGGGUUUAAAGGGUGCGUAGGUGGUUUUUUAAGGCAGUGGUGAAAGCCUACAGCUUAACUGUAGAGGUUCCAUUGAUACUGGGGAACUUGAGUAUGGACGAGGUAGGCGGAAUUUGUGGUGUAGCGGUGAAAUGCAUAGAUACCACAAGGAACACCGAUAGCGAAGGCAGCUUACUGGGCCAUAACUGACACUGAGGCACGAAAGCGUGGGGAGCGAACAGGAUUAGAUACCCUAGUAGUCC